rnacentral:tRNA from 1 species
UAGCUCAGUUGGUAGAGUGCUUGCCUUACAUGCACAAGUCCCUGGGUUCAAUCCCCAG